GAACGCUGGCGGCGCGUUUUAGCAUGCAAGUCGAGCGGUNAGCAUCCUUCGGGAUGCCUAGAGCGGCGAACGGGUGAGUAACACGUAGGUAAUCUGCCGUACGAUUGGGGAUAGCCCAUGGAAACAUGGGGUAAUACCGAAUACGACCUUCGGGGGAAAGGCGCUUCGGCGCCGUCGUACGAUGAGCCUGCGGCGCAUUAGUUAGUUGGCGGGGUAAAAGCCCACCAAGGCGACGAUGCGUAGCCGACCUGAGAGGGUGAUCGGCCACACUGGGACUGAGAUACGGCCCAGACUCCUACGGGAGGCAGCAGCUAAGAAUCUUCCGCAAUGGACGCAAGUCUGACGGAGCGACGCCGCGUGGGCGAGGAAGGCCGAAAGGUUGUAAAGCCCUUUUCUGCGUGAGGAAUAAGGUAAGGAGGGAAUGCCUUACUGAUGACGGUAGCGCAGGAAUAAGCCCCGGCCAAUUACGUGCCAGCAGCCGCGGUAACACGUAUGGGGCGAGCGUUGUUCGGAAUUAUUGGGCGUAAAGGGCGCGCAGGCGGUCAUGCAAGCUUGGUGUGAAAGACCACGGCUCAACGGUGGAAACGCGCUGAGAACUGUAUGACUUGAGUUUCGGAGGGGGAGCUGGAAUUCCAGGUGUAGGGGUGAAAUCUGUAGAUAUCUGGAAGAACAUCAGUGGCGAAGGCGAGCUCCUGGCCGUGAACUGACGCUGAGGCGCGAAAGCGUGGGGAGCGAACAGGAUUAGAUACCCUGGUAGUCCACGCCGUAAACGAAUGUGCACUAGGUGUUGGGCUUUCGAAAGGCUCAGUGCCG
rnacentral:rRNA from 1 species